CUGGCUCAGGACGAACGCUGGCGGCGUGCUUCAUACAUGCAAGUCGAACGAUAAGGUCCUUCGGGAAUACAUAAGUGGCGGACGGGUGAGUAAUAUGUAGAGAAUCUGCCCUGAAGAGGGGGACAACAGAGGGAAACUUCUGCUAAUACCCCAUAUGCGCGUAGUUGAGAUACUAUUCGUGAAAGAUUUAUCGCUUCAGGAUGAGUCUGCAUCUGAUUAGCUAGUUGGGGGUGUAAUGGACCACCAAGGCGACGAUCAGUAGCUGGUUUGAGAGGAUGAUCAGCCACAAUGGGACUGAGACACGGCCCAUACUCCUACGGGAGGCAGCAGUAGGGAAUUUUGCGCAAUGGGCGAAAGCCUGACGCAGCAACGCCCGCGUGAUCGCAGACGGCCUUCGGGUUGUAAAGAUCUGUCAGCAGGGACGAACAAUGACUGUACCUGCAGAGGAAGCACCGGCUAACUCCGUGCCAGCCGCCGC
rnacentral:rRNA from 1 species